GUUUGAUUACAUAGAACAUGCCUUCUAAACUCAUUUAAAAAAAAACAGAGAGAGAGAUUAGAGAUAUAGAAUAUUGAAUACCAAACUCUGCAAGAUCUAGACCAGCAGAACUUGAGCCAUGCAUGUCAUGAAGAGUUGUUUAUACAGAUGGAGUGCUGUCCAAUGUGAGACAAAUUGUUGAAGGAUUACGCUUCAUCCAUACAAAUCAAUUUGUUCACAGAGACCUUGCCACAAAAUACAUUUUUGUGGGAGCUUUCCAGGACGAGAAGGAGAUCAAAAUAGAAGAUUUCGGAAUUAGUGAACAGUUUAAAUUUGAAUGUGAAUCUAACUUGAUCAAUCUUAGCUUUUAUUGUUCCAAGUUGAUUGUUUAUUUCUUAUUAAUAUUUUUUUGGCAACGGUAUUAUGUAAGAAAAGUGAAAAAAUUCAAGUUGACGCUCAAGGAAACAAAAGUUAAGAGGCUCCUGAGGGAAAAGGACCCAUCGAUGCAAAAGCAGAUAUAUACAGUUUGUGAAUUAUUGUGUUCAUGCUGCUGCACCCUCACAAUAUCCGGCACAGAAAGAAAAUAGAAUUUAGAUAAAUUGAAAAGCAUAGAAUUUCCGAAUGAUUGGGAAAAUGAGCGGUACAAACCUCUCAAAUCUCUUAUCUCGGACAUGAUGUCUGUAAACCCUGAUGACUGUCCUUCUGCUGAAGAAGUUUUGCCCUGAGUUCAGUGCGAUGAGUCUGUGGAAGGCAAUAAAGACGAGCAAGAGACUAGGAAAAAUGUUGAUAAGGAGGAGAUUGAAACUGUUGGAGAGGAUGGCGCAGAGGAGGCUUGAGCUUAGGCGAUAGCACUGAAUUAGGAAUGUUCAAAGCAGGAUCAAAAUGCUUGCCAUCACAAAUUUUACUUCAGGGAGGCUGCAUGGCAGUCAAGUGUUCAGUCUAAAGUCUGAUUGUCGAGCAGUGAGGUGCUUCAUGUCUGUCGGAGUGCCAUGUUGUUUUUAUCAAAGUGUGAUAUGUUCAAACACUACAACAGAGGCAAAAUGAUGUGUAGCAAUUCAUCUGAUGUGGCAAACUGCCUCAGCAGAAUUAUUUUGGAAAGCAUGACUGAUGGUUAUCAAAGUGAAAACCAAUUCUGUUCGUAUAUCUUAGCUCUUUAAAACCUUAUCUGUGUAUCUCUUUAAAAGAAUAAGGGUCGAAUCAGAGGAAAUAAUAUUUCUAUGAGGAUUUGAAUUAAA